rnacentral:rRNA from 1 species
AGCAGCCGCGGUAAUUCCAGCUCCAAUAGCGUAUAUUAAAGUUGUUGCAGUUAAAAAGCUCGUAGUUGAAUUUCGGGGUUAGUAGGUUGGUCAUGCCUCUGGUAUGUACUGGUCUCACUGAUUCCUCCUUCCUGAUGAACCUUAAUGCCAUUAAUUUGGUGUUUUGGGGAAUUUGGACUGUUACUUUGAAAAAAUUAGAGUGUUUAAAGUAAGCUAACGCUUGAAUACAUUAGCAUGGAAUAAUGAAAUAGGACGUUCGAUCCUAUUUUGUUGGUUUCUAGGAUUGACGUAAUGAUUAAUAGGGAUAGUUGGGGGCAUUAGUAUUCAAUUGUCAGAGGUGAAAUUCUUGGAUUUAUUGAAGACUAACUACUGCGAAAGCAUUUGCCAAGGAUGUUUUCAUUAAUCAAGAACGAAAGUUAGGGGAUCGAAGACGAUCAGAUACCGUCGUAGUCUUAACCAUAAACUAUGCCGACUAGGGAUCGGAUGAUGUUAAUUUUUUAAUGACUCA